AUACAAAGGGGCGUCGAUGAGUAUUCUUAUUUUGGUUACUGGCUUCAUCGAAUUGCUCAUACCCCCAAACCUGUGCAACAUACGAUUGUACCGAUCUGCAAACCGCUGAAUAUAUGUUCCAUAUCGAAAUCAAUCGUAUGUCUUUUCUCCCUAAGAAGUCUCUCCAUGUUGAGUUUAUAGCAUUUGUAUCCUUGAAAGUCAAUAUUUCAUACCAUUUUUGACUGCCAGAGGAAUAAGUGUACUGCACAUCACAUACACAAUAUUAUCGAGCGUACAAUGUGUGAGGUUAAAUCUAAAGGCAAGGAGUUAAAUAGGCCUCAUUAACGCGUUUUUCCAAAAUUUUCCCUCGAACAUGCCAUUAGGAAAUGGGGAAGUUAGUUAUCUUACAUCACUGAUAAGUCCUACCUACUGAUAAGUCCAGUAGGUUUGUCGCAAAUCGACAUUAUAAAGUGGACAAAUUGUACACGGCAAGAUACUUUUCUGAAAAAAAAAAAAAAAUAUUUUAAACUUGUCAUAUGUGACCCGGUGGACUUCAGUGAGGCUUUAAACCUAACCCCGACAAUAGCGGCGAAGAGGAUAAGGCAAAACGAAUUCCGACUUGUCAGAUUAAGGUCUGCGUAGCUGUAACCCGGCUGAAGAACAAAAUAACAGCAGAAAUCUGUGGGUUGUUGGCUGAACUAUUUCAGUUCGGAGGCGACACGCAGACAAGGGGUAUGCAACAGAUCACCUGAUGAUUGAACCGUCUGUUAUGUUCAGUAAACAAGAACGGAGAGAACACAGAGGACUAAAUCAAUUAAGAUUCAAUGCUGAUUUAAAUCAGGUAAAUCCACCAUAGACCAGAUGUUCUGCGCCAAAUUUUAGAAAAACCAAAGAGUAGAAAAUCUGCAUUUACCACCUUAUCGUCGACUUCAACACCCCUAUGUUCAAAGAAUGACGCUUCCUCAGUGAAUGUAGAAUAGAACUUCAACGAACCAUUCAACACCAAACGAGGUUUCAGACAGGGAGAAGCCUUAUCGUGUGAUCUUUUUAAUAUCCUGCUAGAUGAAAUUAUGUAAGAUGCUGGUAUAAAAAGGCAUGGCGAACUUGACGAACAACGCAUGCUGCUGGAAUGUAUCGACAACAUAGAAAUUAUAGUUUGAAAUCCAGAAACAGCAACUGCCGCCUUUGAAAAGGUCUAUAAAGAGUCGGUUCGAGUGGACUCGAAAAAAAUAACUAUAAGAAAGUCAGCAAUUUUUACUACCUCAACUGCGCCGUAAACGAAA